GCGACGGAUCCGUUAUCCGCUUAUGUACUUCGAGAAGCCCAGUACCACCUCGGAAUCUUCGAUGCGUUGCGCUCAGCACUCAACCCCAGAGUGUAGCUUAGGCUGAUGAGUCUGGACAUCCCUCACCGGUGACGGUGGUCCAGGCUGCGUUGGCGGCCUACCUAUGGCUAACGCCAUGGGACGCUAGUUGUGAACAAGGUGUGAAGAGCCUAUUGAGCUACAUAAGAAUCCUCCGGCCCCUGAAUGCGGCUAAUCCCAACCUCGGGGCAGGUGGUCACAAACCAGUGAUUGGCCUGUCGUAACGCGCAAGUCCGUGGCGGAACCGACUACUUUGGGUGUCCGUGUUUCCUUUUAUUUUAUUGUGGCUGCUUAUGGUGACAAUCACAGA
rnacentral:misc_RNA from 1 species